rnacentral:rRNA from 1 species
AUUGAACGCUGGCGGCAGGCCUAACACAUGCAAGUCGAACGGAGCGGCGGACGGGUGAGUAAUGCCUAGGAACCUGCCCGGUAGUGGGGGAUAACGACAGGAAAGGGGCGCUAAUACCGCAUACUAUCAGAUGGGCCUAGGUCGGAUUAGCUAGUUGGUGGGGUAAAGGCCUACCAAGGCGGCGAUCCGUAGCUGGUCUGAGAGGAUGAUCAGACACACUGGGACUGAGACACGGCCCAGACUCCUACGGGAGGCAGCAGUGGGGAAUAUUGGACAAUGGGCGAAAGCCUGAUCCAGCCAUGCCGCGUGUGUGAAGAAGGUCUUCGGAUUGUAAAGCACUUUUGGUAGGGAAGCGGUACCUGCAGAAUAAGCACCGGCUAACUACGUGCCAGCAGCCGCGGUAAUUC